UGCCAUCCCCUGGCUAUCCUUUUGGCUUUCGGAGAUUUUCUCAUGGAAUUUUCUGAUCAACUUAUCUUUUUUUACAUUCUGACUCUUCACUCAAGUGGCUUCAGAGAGGAGGACAAGGUGAGAUUCUUGCAAAGAGCCAGCUUUAGCUUCUAUCAAACAGUGCAGCAGAGCCUUGUGCCCACUCACCACCUUCUCCCAAAUUCCCCAGCACUUUUCAAUGCUUAACAUCAAUUUAUGUAUUUCAAAAUGUGGAUGCUUAAUAAAAUAUUUGGAAAAUCA